AACUUUCGACAACGGAUCUCUUGGUUCUCGCAUCGAUGAAGAACGCAGCGAAAUGCGAUACGUAAUGUGAAUUGCAGAAUUCCGUGAAUCAUCGAAUCUUUGAACGCACAUUGCGCCCCUUGGCAUUCCAGGGGGCAUGCCUGUUUGAGCGUCAUUUCCUUCUCAAACACUUGUGUUUGGUAGUGAGUGAUACUCUGUAACAUGGGAGUUAGCUUGAAAUUGAGAGCCCAUGGGCUGCUCUGCUGAGGCGGAAGUCGUGCUAGGUAACACCAACUCGACGCAACGCAUUCGGCUGGACGCAGCUCCGGCGAACAAACACAUCAACGCUUGACCUCAAAUCAGGUAGGAGUACCCGCUGAACUUAAGCAUAUCAAUAAGCGGAGGCU
rnacentral:misc_RNA from 1 species